UCCGUCUUAACGACGGCAGUCUCUCUGGAGUGCCCAACUUAAUGAUGGCAACCAAAGACAAGGGUUGCGCUCGUUGCGGGACUUAACCCAACAUUUCACAACACGAGCUGACGACAGCCAUGCAGCACCUGUCUCCUCUGUCCCUUUCGGGCCUAUACUAUCUCUAGCAUAUUCAGAGGGAUGUCAAGCCCAGGUAAGGUUCUGCGCGUUGCUUCGAAUUAAACCACAUGAUCCACCGCUUGUGCGGGCCCCCGUCAAUUCCUUUGAGUUUUAGUCUUGCGACCGUACUCCCCAGGCGGGAUACUUAGCGCGUUAGCUUCGACACGGCAGGGGUCAAGUCCCACCACGUCUAGUAUCCAUCGUUUACAGCGUGGACUAC
rnacentral:misc_RNA from 1 species